CCCGUAACGAGCGCAACCCUUGUCCUUAGUUACCAGCACGUUAUGGUGGGCACUCUAAGGAGACUGCCGGUGACAAACCGGAGGAAGGUGGGGAUGACGUCAAGUCAUCAUGGCCCUUACGGCCUGGGCUACACACGUGCUACAAUGGUCGGUACAAAGGGUUGCCAAGCCGCGAGGUGGAGCUAAUCCCAUAAAACCGAUCGUAGUCCGGAUCGCAGUCUGCAACUCGACUGCGUGAAGUCGGAAUCGCUAGUAAUCGCGAAUCAGAAUGUCGCGGUGAAU
rnacentral:rRNA from 1 species